CAAUAGCGUAUAUUAAAGUUGUUGCGGUUAAAAAGUUCGUAGUUGGAUUUCUGCCAAGGACGACCGGUCCGCCCUCUGGGUGAGUAUCUGGCUUGGCCUCGGCAUCUUCUUGGAGAACGUUGCUGCACUUCACUGUGUGGCGCGGUAUCCAGGACCUUUACUUUGAGGAAAUUAGAGUGUUUCAAGCAGGCAUCCGCCUUGAAUACAUUAGCAUGGAAUAAUAAGAUAGGACCUCGGUUCUAUUUUGUUGGUUUCUAGAGCUGGGGUAAUGAUUAAUAGGGAUAGUUGGGGGCAUUCGUAUUUAACUGUCAGAGGUGAAAUUCUUGGAUUUGUUAAAGACGGACUACUGCGAANGNAUUUGCNAAGGAUGUUUNCAUUG
rnacentral:rRNA from 1 species